UUGAAGCAGAAUAUUAUUAGCCUGGGAACAGUUUAUCGAGGAAAGAAAAAAUCAAACUAUUUACAAUUUUGAAUGAAAGCUCGUGCAUUCUCGAUUUUCACUGGGAGCUCCAUCGUUACCCUCUUCCUGGGUACAAACGUAUGACGUCACGCAUGAUAGACCUUUCCCAUAAACAAGGCAGUUUUAUGGGGAAGAAGAGAAGAAAAUUCAGUGCCAACAUUAAAAUGACUAGAGCGACUGAGGGAGAAUACAGAACUUUUGCUUGUUUAUACGUUGACAACUUUGACUGAAGCAAAAGUUGACGAUUCGUUGAAGGGUGAUUUACUGAACCGAAGCAAGCGUAAGGGAUACUCACAGUUGGUGGCCAGAAUCGAAAUCCACGUUCAAUGCAAGGGUGUCCGAAUUGAACCGAAUACUAGUGUGAUUUCACUUGCAAGAAUUCCUCUUUUGUAAGUUGAAAUGAAUCUAGAUCAUACUCACAGUACUAAGUAACAGUAGCCUAGAAUUUCCUGUUAGGUAAUAGUAUAUAGUAAAAUCUG